GACGAACGCUGGCGGCGUGCUUAACACAUGCAAGUCGAACGGAAAGGCCCUGCUUUUGUGGGGUGCUCGAGUGGCGAACGGGUGAGUAACACGUGAGUAACCUGCCCUUGACUUUGGGAUAACUUCAGGAAACUGGGGCUAAUACCGGAUAGGAGCUCCUGCUGCAUGGUGGGGGUUGGAAAGUUUCGGCGGUUGGGGAUGGACUCGCGGCUUAUCAGCUUGUUGGUGGGGUAGUGGCUUACCAAGGCUUUGACGGGUAGCCGGCCUGAGAGGGUGACCGGCCACAUUGGGACUGAGAUACGGCCCAGAAUCCUACGGGAGGCAGAAGUGGGGAAUAUUGCACAAUGGGCGGAAGCCUGAUGCAGCAACGCCGCGUGCGGGAUGACGGCCUUCGGGUUGUAAACCGCUUUCGCCUGUGACGAAGCGUGAGUGACGGUAAUGGGUAAAGAAGCCCCGGCUAACUACGUG
rnacentral:rRNA from 1 species